CAGUCACCCAGAGGAGUGGCACUGAGAACACAGGUACCAAUGCAAAUAUAUGGCGAACUAUAUACAGCUGGAUAGAAUAAUUGUGCAACUGUGUUCUCAGGUCACCCCUUUGGGGUUACU
rnacentral:pre_miRNA from 1 species